AAAAAAACUGUCUCAAUUUAAUUUUAAUUAGAAUUUUAUUUUUAAGUUAAAAAGCUUAAAUAUUUUUAAAAGACGAGAAGACCCUAUAGAGUUUUAUAAAAUUUUUAUUUUUAAUAAUUUUAGUAUUACAUCAAUUAAUUGUAAAAAUUUUAUUUGAUUGGGGUGAUUGAAAAAUUUAAUAAACUUUUUUUGUUAUUAAACAUUGAUUUAUGAAUAAUUGAUCC
rnacentral:rRNA from 1 species